GCAGCAUUUAAUCCUGUCGCAAACGGUGUGUUUGCGUUGAGAUCAGGAAACAUGGAUGUGAUUGAAAUAGGACCCAUAAGUAAUCUAGAAUCUCCGGUAUCUGGAGCGAAGUCUACUUUGGCACAUUGAUCUCCUUUGAAAAAGAAUGUGUCAUUUCCAUCAUUGUCAAAGGAACCAUCAAUUCCAAUUGCAAAUGGUGUGUUUGCAAACAUUGGAAAUCCAUCAGCAAUAUGAAUUGGACCACCAAUAACUCUAGUUUUCUUAUCAAAUCCUCUACCAUAAUCCAAAACCACAUACUUUUCAUUAUUGAACACGUAACAUUGAUUACGCUGAGAUGAACGAAAUGCAGCAGUUACAAGGGGAGUUGUCAUUUUUUUUUUCUUCUAAUUGAAGGAUUAUUUAUUUCAAGGUAUAUAUGGAAGGAUAUGGAUGAAUUGUGUUUUUGUUUAAAUUUGUGAAUGACGCCUCUGUUUAUAUAGAUGUGGCAUUUGAUUAAUUAAAGGGUAAGUGGCUAUAAACAAUUAUAAUAAGGGAAACAUGUAGCAUAUAAUUAAUCUCAUAUUGUUUGUUUAAAGUCUAAAUGUUUAUCCAUCCUUAGUUUGGACAAACUAAAAAUGAAGAAAAAGAAUUUCCUCUAACAACCAUGUGUGAAUGUUAAUGCUAUGAAAACCAUGUGUGAAUGCUUACUUUGUUCAUACUAAAAAAUAUUUAUCCAUGCUUAGCUUACUUUGUUCAAACUAAAAAAAUAUUUAUCCAUGCUUAGCUUACUUUGUUCAAACUAAAAAAAUAUUUAUCCAUGCUUAGCUUACUUUGUUCAAACUAAAUAUGAAGAAAAAGAGUUUGCUUUAACGCUAUUAUUAUUAUUAUUAUUAUUAUUNNNNNNNNNNNNNNNNNNNNNNNNNNNNNNNNNNNNNNNNNNNNNNNNNNNNNNNNNNNNNNNNNNNNNNCCACGUUAAUAACUUAGUUAAGUUUCUAUAAACCAUGAUGUAAAAAAAAUGUUUCUAUAAACCAUCUUAGUAAAAUACUAAUUAAAUAAGUUAAAUUUAAAAUGCUCAAUAGAUAUAUUAAAUUUUGACCAACAGAAGUGAGUCAUUAUAUAUUUUAUAAAAAAAUUAAACUAAAUUAUUACUAAUAAGAAAUGACAAUAUAUAAUUAUGUUAAAACUCAGCGCCACACUCUUAACCCUAAUUUCUCAUCUUCUUUUUUUUGAUAAUUAGAGAGGAAUAAUUUAGGAUCAAUUUUGAUCCGGAAUUACCUCUCUUGAUUGUUUAUUUUUUUUUCCGAUUCAAUAAGUGAUUUACACAUAAUUUUAGGUUUAAUUUGAGUUUUUUCUUUUGUGAUUUCUUCGUCUGGUGUUGUUUUAUUCUCGUCUUAGUACGAGGUUGUUUGUUAUCUCGUCUUCGUACGGUGUUUGUUUUGUUUAAAUUUGCAGAUUUAUUUCAAUCCAAAUUCAGUGCAGAUUCAAUGAUUUUAGAGUCGUCAACGUUGCAGAUUCGGAUGCAUGACUAUUCCGGACACUUGGAUUUUAUUAUAUCAAUUGUAGGCUGUGUCAUAUUUGUAGACAUUGAGCCAUUUUAUGCUAUUAACUCGGAUGUUGUGAGCUCUUUUGUAGAUUCAUCUUUUUUAGUUUUUAGUAAAUUUGAAUAUGUAAUGAUUUCGAUUGAUGUACUAUGUCGAUUUGAAUGAAUGAAUAUCGUUGUUUUUUUCGUGAAAAAAAAUAAAAUUAUGUUGACCAAUUGUAUUAGGCAUAUUGAAUUCCAAUAAGUGGUCCUUUUGCAAAAAUGUACUCGAUCCAUAAAUACGCGUACUCAUUAAUUUAACAGGUUAUGUUGAUUAGUGUAAAAACCUAGGAAGCACAAACAUCUCUAUGAUUAGGCGUGUUGCGGUGUCUGACACUCGUAUGACACUCAUACGAUACGUGUCAGAUGGCUCAGAUAGGUGUCCAAAAAAAUUCAAUUUCGACACUCCUUUGAAUGGUGUCCGACACCUGUAAAGACACUCGUACGAUAAGUGUCGGACAAGUGUCCCAAAUAAAUUUGUUUUUUCUUUGUUUAUACUCUCCUUUGGCACAUAUCACACAUAUCUACAAGAGUUAAAAUGUGUCGAAACAACAAUAUUAANNNNNNNNNNNNNNNNNNNNNNNNNNNNNNNNNNNNNNNNNNNNNNNNNNNNNNNNNNNNNNNNNNNNNNNNNNNNNNNNNNNNNNNNNNNNNNNNNNNNNNNNNNNNNNNNNNNNNNNNNNNNNNNNNNNNNNNNNUUUGCAAAAAUGUACUCGAUCCAUAAAUACGCGUACUCAUUAAUUUAACAGGUUAUGUUGAUUGGUGUAAAAACCUAGGAAGCACAAACAUCUCUAUGAUUAGGCGUGUUGCGGUGUCUGACACUCGUAUGACACUCAUACGACACGUGUCAGAUGGCUCAGAUCGGUGUCCAAAAAAAUUCAAUUUCGACACUCCUUUGAUAGGUGUCCGACACCUGUAAAGACACUCGUACGAUAAGUGUCGGACAAGUGUCCCAAAAAAAUUUGUUUUUUCUUUGUUUAUAUUCUCCUUUGGCACAUAUCACACAUAUCUACAAGAGUUAAAAUGUGUCGAAACAACAAUAUUAAUCAAUGAGUGAUUGAAAAUAUUACAUUUUGAUUACAAUAUUUUUAGCUUUUUCAAAAAUAGAUGGAUAAUAUCAUAUCUUAUUUUAAAAAAAAAUUUAAAAAAUAAUUUACUCAACUUAGAUUUACAUGUAUAUAUUUUGACUCUCAAUUUAUAUCUUUUAUAAAUAUGUAGCGGUGUCAGUGUCCUAUAUUUUUUAUAUUAGCGGAGUCCGUGUCGUGUCGCGGUGUCUGUGUCGGAGUAUAUGCUUCAUAGGUAAUAACCCUUUAGUUUGUUUACAUAACAUUUAAAGGUAUUUGUGAAUUGCAAGAGUUGAAAUUCUAUUUUGAUUAUAAAAUAUUUAAAAAGGGGUUAUCAUAUAUAGUUUAUAAAUUGAACUGAAUUAAACCACAUUAAUAAUUUAAUUAAGUUUUUUUAUUUGUCAACCUGGAAAUUUUACCCUUAAGAUGGAUAAGUGAGAUGACCGGAGUUCAAACCCCGCCCCAUACAUAUAUAAUGCAAUAUCCUACCAACUAUAUUAAACUCAUGAGACAAUUCAAUUAAGUUUCUAUAAACCAUUUUAGUACAACACUAAUUAAAUUUUAAAAUAGUUUAAAUUUGGUUUAAAAUUGGUUCCCAAUCGGUUUACAUUUAUGAACUGCUUAAAAAAAAUAUUUUCACUAUAUAUCCAUUAAACAAAUAAUUUAAAAGUUGGUUUUUUAUGUCCAAUUUUAAAAAUUGUUUUUAUGGUUCCCACAAUCAUGAUCGUCCUUAAAAUUUUAGGCGCCCUCGAAAUUAUGAAAUUGCUGCCGGAUAUUUUUUAUAAGUGAUGAUUUUAAUUUUUUAAACUAUUAAAAAAUUCUUUUUUAGUAUUUGAUUUAGAGACCAGAUUAUUUUGACACUUUAGAGACUGAAUUAUACUAGUGUGUACUAAUUGAUAAGCUUAUUUCCAGCUUUAUACCUCUUGAAAGUGUAACUGCAUUCAUAUCUCAGCUAGGACAUAUGUCAGCAUUCAACAAACAAAGUGUUCUUUCAAUUUUGCAGUCUAAUUUUUUAGAUAUGUGCCCAUUUAAUGAGUAGAGAUCCUCUCCAUUUCCGAAAUGAAAUGGAAAUGUUGAUUAUUAUUGUUUUAAAGUAAAUCAAGGAUAUUAUUGUAUUAUUUUUUGACAAUACUUUAAUAAUUGUAUUGUCUAUUUUUUUAAAAAAAUAGAGAAAAUCUCCGCUCGCAUUUAAUGCCCAGAUCUGCAUAGGUGUGCCACUUGACAAGCUCCGUGAUUAAGGACACAUUGCACACUUCAGACGUGCUAGGGAGCUUCUCCUUAUUAAUAAAUAGCAAAUAUAUUUAAAUAAAUCCAAAUAACAAAAAUAUAAUAAUUAAAUAUAUUAAAUGCUAAUUUGUGCAUUUUAAUUUUUGAAGCAUUAAAUUUAUUGUAUAAUUAAAUGUUAAGUUUCUAUUUUGACAUAUCUUAAGAUGUGCCCUAAAGACACAUGUUUACGAGAGCCUUAAAUAAAAUAUAUCAAGAAAUGCAAAUAUGCUCAAUUGGUCACAUUAAGCAACACAUUGUAAAGUCACCGAUAAAAAUUCAUUAAAUAUAAAGUCAAUGAUAUUGAAGUAUGACCAACAGAACCAAGGGAAGUUGGUCAUCAUAAUACACGUCAUGUAAAUAAGUUAAUAUAAAAAUCUUGUCUGAUACUUCAUUUAUCAUACGAUGAGUGAAACAGUCGACUAUUAUGCUGGACUGGGCAAUGGGCUUAAGAGAAUAUCCAGUAAGCCCAAUUAGAGUAAAAAGAAUGAUAAGCCCAAAUCAACUAAACCCUAGAGCGUCCAAUAGGCGAUUAGAAGCUAAGGCGUGACUGGCAACCUUAAAGCAACGCCAAAGAGGGCGAAUCCAAUGCUGCGGUAAAUAUCUUCCCCUUCCUGGUAUCAACCGCUAACUUAAGAAAGAAGAAAUAAACUUCUGGUAACUGCCAUAGCUUGGAAACCAAGGCUCUCAUCCCUAUUUUCACGCUGCAUCACCGAAGAAGAUGCUAAGGACCGGAUUUUCAGGAACCCUUGCUUGGAGAAGAAGACUAGAAGCUCUAUAAAUAGCUCCAUACUUUCAUUGGUAAAGGGAUCGAAUUCUGACUUAUAAAAACUCCCAGGGUUGUUGGGAUUGAACUGAGUGUAAUCACACCAUUUGAUCAAUAAUACAAACCCCUUUGUUUUUUACCAGAACAUAUGCAUAUUCAUACAUAUUAUUUUUAUUAUAUUUUUUUUAUUGUUCCAUCUGGUCCCAUGUAUAAGAAAAAAUUAAUUUUUUAGAUUCAUUGUGAAAUUGAUAUAUCUAGACAAUUAUAUAGUCUAAAUACAUUCAUUCUUCAAGGAAUCUAAAAAGUAAAAAGUUUCUUAUAUAUAGGAUCGAAUGGAGUAAUAAGUUAAAAUAAAUAUUAACAUAUGAGAUGUUAGAUUCAGUUCGAUGAAUAUUUUCAAAAUAUCAAUUCUUUUAUAAUUUUUACUAUUAUACAAUUAAAUAUAUUAAUGGUUAAAGCUACACAUUGACAUAUGUGAAACAGUCAACUAACUCACUCAUUGUGGGACAGAGGGAGUAGAUAGAGUGAAAAGUUUAUCUUGUAAAUGGUUUUUAGGCAAAAAAACUCUUACUUCCCCUGUUCCUUUUAUGAAUUGGGUGGAUACCCUACUUUAAGCUGGAACCUUUAGAGUUUUGGAGGAGUCAAGUUGGAUCUCGAUAUAUAGGUCAGGAGGAUUGAAGGCGAUCUCUUGUUGAUUUGUCCUACCUAUAUAUGGUUGAUCCUUUUAUGUCUCAUUUUGAGGUGUAUUUUGUUCUAGUGCUGGUGCUAUUUAGAGGCUCUAGUUUAAUUUGAUAGUGGUGCCUCCUUGUUUCUUUGUAAUUUUAUUUGCUUUUUUGUUUUCCUAUGUUACGAUAGAGAUUGUAAGCUUCUCAUGGAGUGUACUUCUGAUACUUUUUUUUUUGGUACAUGAUAUAUACCUUUUUAUUUUCUUGAACUUUCUCUUGUAAUGCUUUUGUUUAUAUAUAAUAUAUUUAUCAUUAAAAAAAAAUNNNNNNNNNNNNNNNNNNNNNNNNNGUUGGUAUGUCUAAAGACCAUCAUCGUCUACCAUAAUCUCAUAAUUAGUUUCCACUAACAAUCAUGUGUGAAUGCUAACGCUAUUAUUACAACUUAUUGCUUAAAGCUUAUCUACUAUAAGUCCAUCUCCUAUAACUUCAUACAAAUAACGCUAUUACUACAACUAAUUGCUUAAAGCUUAUCUGUUAUAAGUUCAUCUCCUCUAACUUCAUACAAAUCAUAGGAAAAGGAUAAUAGAGACACCCUAUAAAGGGUACGAUUGAUCAAGAGAUCGAGAAGCAGCAAAACCUAGGAUAAACUAGGGCUAACCACACCACCACAAAAAACUUAGAAAUAAAAAGCGUUACGCGAAAAGCAGUAUACCAACAAAUCUUAUGUCAACCUGAACAAGUGAAAAAGGAAAGACACUUGUUUCCAAAAUGACCGAAACCAUAACCUCCAAGAACACUAUUUGUACCAGCAAAUCACAUAAUGAACCUCGAAUUCGUAGUAGUUGGAACACAAGUGACUAAAGUUCCGACAAAGAAACUAUUUCAAACAAGAGAAUUUAACCAUGUCCGCCAGUUAAUAUUUCAAAGUUAUAUUUCCAAAAAUGUUAUAUAGAUUAUUGCGGGACUUUUAAAUUUAUUUUUUUUGACUAAAAAAACGGGACUUUUAAGUUGACCACACAAUAACACGUCAAAUUCCACUUGUUCGAUUAAUUUUUUUUUUGGACAAAAUGCUCAAUUAGUCUCUUUAAACAACACAUUAAUAAGUCAACAACUUAAAUAAGUUAAAUUUUAAAUGCUCAACAGAUAUAUUAAAUAAUGACCAAGAGAAGUGGGUCAUUAUAUAUGCAGAGCAAAUUGCAAAUUUAAAAUUAAAUAUGUUUUAUAAAAGAAAAAUUAAAGUAAAUUAUUACUACAAAUAUAAGAAAUGACCAUAUAUAAUUGUUGACUUAUUGUAUUAGGCAUAUUGAAUUCCAAUCAGUGGUCCGUUUGCAAAAAUGUCCUCGAUCCAUAAAUACAUAUACGUACUCAUUUAAGGGGCUCAUAGUUCAUAAACUGAACUGAAUGAAUUAAACCACAUUAAUAAUUAAACCAUUUUAGUACACCCUCCGUAUCACAAUAUAUGUCAUUUUGGGAAAAAAAAUUGUACCAUAAUAUCUGUCGCUUUAUAUUAUCAAUGAAAUAUUUAAUGUUAUUUUUUUUAUUAUACCCUUAAUUAUUUAUUACUCUCUUCUUUCAAUUAUUCAAUUUAUUUUUUCCAUACCAUAAAUGAAGGACAAUUUUGUAAAUCAACUCAUAAUUUCUCUUUUCCAUACAACAUUAAUUACCUUUCUUAAUAUGUGUAAAAGUGUCAAAGCGACAUAUAUUGUGGUACGAAGGGAGUACAACACUAAUUAAAUUUUAAAAUCGUUUUGGUUUGUUUUAAAAUUGGUUCACAAUUCGUUUACAUUUAUCAAUUUAUGAACUGCUUAAAAAAAUAAUUUCACUAUUUAUCCAUUAAACAAAUAUUUUUAAAAUCCAAACCUUAUAAAAAAUAAAAAAUUUAAAAGUUGGUUUUUUGUCUCCAAUUUUAAAAAUUGUUUUUAUGGUUCCUGCAAUCACGGUCGUCCUUAAGAUUUUAGGCGUUGUCGAAAUUAUGAGAUUGGUGCCCCAUAUUUUAAGUGAUAAUUUUAAUUUUUUACACUACUAAAAAAUUGCUUUUAGUGUUAGAUUUAGAGACCGAAUUAUACCGGUGUGCACCAAUUGAUAAGCUUAUCUCUAGCUUUAUACGUCUUGAAAUGCAUUCAUAUCGUGUGUCACACCUCAUUACAAACGCGUAGGACAUAAGUCAACAGUCAGCGAACAAAGUGUCCUUUCAAUUCUGCAUGUCUGAUUUUUUAGUUAUGUUCGCAUUUAAUGAGUAGGGAUCAUCUCCCUUUCCUAAAAAAUGGUAAUGUCUAUUAUUAUAGUUUUGAAGUAAAUCAAGGGUAUAAACUAUAAAUGCUCCCUCCGGUCCUUAUUAUAAGGAACAGUUUGGAUUUUUUUUUUGGUUCUUUAUAUAAGAAACACUCCUUAAAUCUAUGCUUUAUUAAACAAGUAAUUCCUUUUAUACCCUUAUUGAAUUGAAUUGUAUACUCCAAUAUAACCUAUUCCAAUGCUUAACAUUAAUUACACACACAUUUCCUAUAAAAAAAAUUGGAGGCAAAUUUUAGUAAACAAAGGGACACGUAAAUUGGAGCCUUGUGUAUACGAGGAGUUACAUUGGAAUUAAGAAUAGUGGUUUAGUAUAUUGAUAAUUACAAGAGACAACAAUCAAUUAAGACCAAGGUUAUUUUUGGAAUUAAACAUAACAUUUUAAAAUUUUUAAUAAAAAAAAUAGGUCUCCUUGGUCUGUGUGUUUUUGUCAAACUGUUCCUUAUAAUAAGGACCGGAGGGAGUAUGAUUUUUUGAGAAUUGUUGAUAUUAUUUUAAUAUUUAUACACCUAAACUUUGGUAAUUGUAUUGUCCAUGUCCAUUUCUUAUUUUUUUUUAAGAAAUGGGGAGAAUUUCUACACUCAUAUAAUGCUCAAAUGUUUCACAGUUGGAGUCAAGAUGCUCUCCAUUUUAGGUAAACAGUUGUCAUUUGCAAAGGCUGUAGAGGAUGAUGCUCGAGUUACACAGGAGGAAAGUCGAAAUGCAAAUAUAAUAAAUUGGUCACAUUAAGCAACACAUUGUAAAGUCACCGAUAAAAAUUCAUUAAAUAUAAAGUCAAUGAUAUUGAAGUAUGACCAACAGAACCAAGGGAAGUUGGUCAUCAUAAUACACGUCAUGUAUAUACGUCAUGUAAAUAAGUUAAUAUAAAAAUCCUGUCUGAUACCUCAUCUGUACUACGAUGAGUGAAACAAUUGACUAUUAUGCAUAUUCAUACAUAUUGUUUUUACUGUAUUUUUCUAUUGUUCCAUCCGGUCCUAUAUAUAAGAAAAAGUUAAUUUUUUAAAUUCAUUGUGAAAUUGAUAUAUCUAAACAAUUAUAUAGUCUAAAUACAUUCAUUCUCCAAGGAAUCUAAAAAGUAAAAUGUUUCUUAUAUAUAGGACCGAAUGGAGUAAUAAGUAAAAAUAAAUAUUAACAUAUGAGAUGUUAGAUUCAGUUCGAUGAGUAUUUUCAAAAUAUCAAUUUUUUUUAUAAUUUUUACUAUUAUACAAUUAAUUAUAUUAAUGGUUAAAACUACACACCGACUUAUGUGAAACAGUCAACUAACUCACUCAUUGUGGGACGAAGGGAGUAGAUAGAGUGAAAAGUUUAUCUUGUAAGUGGUUUUUAGGUAAAAAAAACACUUACUUCCCCUGUUCCUUUUAUGAAUUGGGUGGAUACCCUACUUUAAGCUGGAACCUUUAGAGUUUUGGGGGAGUCAAGUUGGAUCUCGAUAUAUAGGUCAGAGGAUUGAAGGCGAUCUCUUGUUGUUUUGUCCUACCUAUGGUUGAUCCUUGUCUGUCUCAUUUUGAGAUGUAUUUUUGUUCUAGUGCUGGUGCCUUUUAGAGGCUCUAGUUUAAUUUGAUAGUGGUGCCUCCUUGUUUCGUUGUAAUUUUAUUUGCUUUUUUGUUUUCCUAUGUUACGAUAGAGAUUGUAAGCUUCUCGUGGAGUGUACUUCUGAUACCUUUUUAUUUUCUUCAACUUUCUCUUGUAAUGCUUUUGUUUAUAUAUAAUAUAUUUGUCGUUAAAAAAAAUUAUAAGUCAAAAGAUUAGAGGGCAUCAAUGAAUCUUUAGACACACCAAAUCAGUUGGUAUGUCUAAAGACCAUCAUCGUCUACCAUAAUCUCAUAAUUAGUUUCCACUAACAUUCAUGUGUGAAUGCUAACGCUAUUAUUACAACUUAUUGCUUAAAGCUUAUCUACUAUAAGUCCAUCUCCUAUAACUUCAUACAAAUAACGCUAUUACUACAACUAAUUGCUUAAAGCUUAUUUGAUAUAAGCUCAUCUCCUCUAACUUCAUACAAAUCAUAGGAAAAGGAUAAUAGAGACACCCUCUAAAAGAUACGAUUGAGCAAGAGAUCGAGAAGCAGCAAAACCUAGAAUAAACUAGGGCUAACCUAACCACCACAAAAAACUUAGGAAAAAAAGCGUUAUGUGAAAAGCAGUAUACCAACAAAUCCUAUCUCAACCUGAACAAGUGAAAAAGGAAAGGCACUUGUUGCCAAAAUGACCGAAACCAUAACCUCCAAGAACACUAUCUGUACUAGCAAAUCACAUAAUGAACCUCGAACUCGUAGUAGUAGGAACAUGAGUGACUAAAGUUCCGACAAAUAAACUAUUUCAAACAAGAGAAUUUAACCAUGUCCGCCAGUUAAUAUUUCAAAGUUAUAUUCCAAAAAUGUUAAAUAGAUUAUUGCGGGACUUUUAAAUUUUUUUUUUUUUGACUAAAAAAACGGGACUUUUAAGUUGACCACACAAUAACACGUCAAAUUCCACUUGUUGGAUUAAUAUAUAUUUUUUUUUUGGACAAAAUGCUCAAUUAGUCUCUUUAAACAACACAUUAAUAAGUCAACAAAUUAAAUAAGUUAAAUUUUAAAUGCUCAACAGAUAUAUUAAAUAAUGACCAAGAGAAGUGGGUCAUUAUAUAUGCAGAGCAAAUUGCAAAUUUAAAACUAAAUAUAUUAUAUAAAAAAAAAUUAAAGUAAAUUAUUACUACAAAUAUAAGAAAUGGUCGUAUAUAAUUGUUGAUGUUAUAAACUAUUUCUAAAGAAUAACAAGAAUAUAGAAGGAGAAGAGAAUGAGAGAAGAGAAAGGAAUAGACCAUUGUUAUUAUUCUAUUCACAAGUGUGUGUAUACAUGACAAUAUAGGUCUUAUUUAUAGGACAAUAUAAUGGGCCAAUGCUUAAUGGGCAUCCACCUAAUUAUUCAUAACACUCCCCCUUGGAUGUCCAUCGAGGAUAUGCCUCAUUAAAACCUUACUAGAGAAAAACCUAUUGGGAAACAAUUCUAGUGAAGGAAAAAGAGUACAUAGUCUUUUGUGUGUGAACUGCCUCAUUAAAAACCUUACCAGGAAAACCCAGUGGGAUAAAACCAUGGUGAAGGGAAAAAGAGUGCAGAACAUAUUUAUAUCUCCCCCUGAUAAAUACAAAAUAUAUCUAAGAAGAAAAAUGUCAAAUAAUCUUCAAUAUUAGUUGCUCCAAAGCUUUGACGAUUAGUGAUAACGUGUUGACAAUCUUCUAUCUUCGUUAUUAUAUUCUUCUUCAAAUUAGCGUGUUUGUNNNNNNNNNNNNNNNNNNNNNNNNNNNNNNNNNNNNNNNNNNNNNNNNNNNNNNNNNNNNNNNUAAUGACCAAGAGAAGUGGGUCAUUAUAUAUGCAGAGCAAAUUGCAAAUUUAAAACUAAAUAUAUUAUAUAAAAAAAAAUUAAAGUAAAUUAUUACUACAAAUAUAAGAAAUGGUCGUAUAUAAUUGUUGACUAAUUGUAUUAGGCAUAUUGAAUUCCAAUCAGUGGUCCGUUUGCAAAAAUGUCCUCGAUCCAUAAAUACAUAUACGUACUCAUUUAAGGGGCUCAUAGUUCAUAAACUGAACUGAAUGAAUUAAACCACAUUAAUAAUUAAAUCAUUUUAGUACACCCUCCGUAUCACAAUAUAUGUCAUUUUGGGAAAAAAAAUUGUACCAUAAUAUCUGUCGCUUUAUAUUAUCAAUGAAAUAUUUAAUGUUAUUUUUUUUAUUAUACCCUUAAUUAUUUAUUACUCUCUUCUUUCAAUUAUUCAAUUUAUUUUUUCCAUACCAUAAAUGAAGGAUAAUUUUGUAAAUCAACCCAUAAUUUGUCUUUUUCAUACAACAUUAAUUACCUUUCUUAAUAUGCGUAAAAGUGUCAAAACGACAUAUAUUGUGGUACAGAGAGAGUACAACACUAAUUAAAUUUUAAAAUUGAUUUGGUUUGGUUUGAAAUCAGUUCACAAUUGGUUUACAUUUAUGAACUGCUUAAAAUAAUAAUUUCACUAUUUAUCCAUUAAACAAAUAUUUUUAAAAUCCGAACCUUAUAAAAAACAAAAAUUUUAAAAGUUGGUUUUUUGUCUCCAAUUUUAAAAAUUGAUCACGGUCGUCCUUAAGAUUUUAGGCGUUGUCGAAAUUAUGAGAUUGGUGCCCCAUAUUUUUUUAAGUGACAAUUUUAAUUUUUUACGCUACUAAAAAAUUGCUUUUAGUGUUAGAUUUAGAGACCGAAUUAUUUUGGUCACUUUAGAGACCGAAUUAUACUAGUGUGUACCAAUGGAUAAGCUUAUCUCUAGCUUUAUACGUCUUGAAAUUAUAACUGCAUUCAUAUCGUGUGUCACACCUCAUUACAAACGCGUAGGACAUAAGUCAACAUUCAGCGAACAAAGUGUCCUUUCAAUUCUGCAUGUCUGAUUUUUUAGUUAUGUUCGCAUUUAUUGAGUAGGGAUCAUCUCCCUUUCUUAAAAAAAAUGGUAAUGUCUAUUAUUAUAGUUUUGAAGUAAAUCAAGGAUAUAAACUAUAAAUAUGAUUUUUUGAGAAUUGUUGAUAUUAUUUUAAUAUUUAUACACCUAAACUUUAGUAAUUGCAUUGUCCAUAUCCAUUUCUUUUAAGAAAUGGAGAGAAUUUCUACUCGCAUAUAAUGCUCAAAUGUUGCACAGUUGGAGUCAAGAUGCUCUCCGUUUUAGGUAAACAGUUGUCAUUUGCAAAGGCUGUAGAGGAUGAUUCUCGAGUUACACAGGAGGAUCGUCGAACAUCAAAUCAAGGAACAAGGAAUUUGGAGUGACUAACACCAUGGUCAUCGAGACUAGCUAUGAGGAAGAUGAUCAUCUGACAAGAUGGAUGACUCUUUGUCGACAUCCUAGACCUAAAUUAUUAUUAAAUUAUGUUUUAUUUUGAGACUCAUGGGUUGAUGUAAUUUAUUUAUGUCAAACUGGAUUGAAGUUAUAUAAAAGUUAUUAAAUUUUGGUAAAUUAUAUCAUUAUUAUGACAAAUAAGUGACAUUAUAGUUGGUAAUUUGUGAAGCAAAAAUAGCAUAAUCUAAUUAGAUAUAUUACGUACCGACAACAAAGCUGUGAAUAAAUUUGUCCCAACAAAUAGGAUUAGUCGUGGGUAAAUCGAGACAAAUAAUUAAGUGGUGGUUUAGGUGAAAAAUUUAUAUGUAUGUCUUACUAAGAACAAAUGGAAAGUAAAUCGAGUGACAUAUUUAUUACAAAUAACAAAAGAAACCAAACAACCACACACAUCUUACAUUGAUGUCGUAAAAUAAAACAUGAAGAAAACAAGAUAUAAAAAACCACAAGAUGUGCGGCAAACUAGCAAGAUCUAGCUAGCUAGCCUAGCACACUUAUUAGCACACACAUACUCAUGACAUUACAUUGAGUUGAAAAAUUUAAAUAGCAUGAUUUUCUGCAUGCAUGCAUGCAUGAUGAUAUAUUAUAUUAUGCGCUUAAGAGCAGGCCACUCAGUACGGAUUUUCCUGAUAAAACCAAUAAACUCACUAGUUACAAGAUUGAAAUGUGCAUAGUAUUCUCCUUUGAAAAUGUAAACUUCAUUCCUAUCGUGAGUAUUAAAAGCUGCAUCAAGUCCGAAUUCNNNNNNNNNNNNNNNNNNNNNNNNNNNNNNNNNNNNNNNNNNNNNNNACUUUGGCACAUUGAUCUCCUUUGAAGAAGAAUGUGUCAUUUCCAUCAUUGUCAAAGGAACCAUCUAUUCCAAUUGCAAAUGGGGUGUUUGCAAACAUUGGAAAUCCAUCAGCAAUAUGAAUUGGACCACCGAUAACUCUAGUUU
rnacentral:lncRNA from 1 species